AGGAGCUGUCAGCACAGAGCCCAAUGCAGGGCUUGAACUCAAGAUCUGCAAGUUCAUGACCCUGAGCGAAGUUGGAUGCUCAACUGACUGAGCCACCCAGGCACCCCGGAAUCUUGGAAGGUUUUAUGAACAGCAUAAGACUUAAACUGGGGCUUGAAAAAAAGUACAAAUACACUUUAGGAAAAUUAAUCUGACAUUAUUUAUUUAGUGGUGGUAGGAACUAAGGAUAAGAAGGCUAACAAGAAUCCAGGUGUGAAUAUCUGAUUUAUAGCAGAAGGAAUAGGAAAGCAGAAUAAAGAUCAUUCAGAAAUAAUGGUUAAGAAAGACGGUGGGGCAGACAGCAUAUCAUGGGCUGCACUGUGACAGUGGUUGGUGAAGUGAAAGGAUGGCAAGUGUAAGGAGACCCAGGAAAACACAGGACUGCUAGGUAAUAAAGUGGAUGGUCCAGUCUGUAAAACUGUGUACAUGUAACACUUGUUGCUUACCAGCUAGUGGUGAGGCUACAGAACGUACUGGUCACUCUGAAAAUGGCAGUCACUUCACCUUAAAGGUCCAGUGGCGAAUCAGUGUAUCUCAGGAGGUUCACUAUUUGCCUUCAUGAAGGAUAAUAUACGUUAAUAAAAUGUAUGCUUUUAUGCAUUCUUUACAUUAUUUUUAUUUUGGAAACCCAAAUAGUAAUAGAAACAUUUUAGUUACAGUGUGCUAUAAUUAUAUUCCUAUAAACACUACAUUUUAAAUUAUAAUUAUAUAUAUAUAUAUAUAUAUUAUAAUUCUAUUCCUGUAAAUAUUACCUUUUAAAAAAUAGCUCACUGGGGGCGCCUGGGUGGCUCAGUCAGUUAAGUGUCCAGCUUCUGCUCAGGUCAUGAUCUCAUGAUUUGUGAAUUCCAGCCCUGCACUGUGCUGUGCUGACAGCUCAGAGCCUGGAGCCUGCUUGGGAUUCUGUGUCUCUCCCCCCACUCCUGCCCCUCUCCCAAUUGCAUGCUGUCUCUUACAAAAGUAAAUAAACAUGAAAAAAAAAAUAGUUCUCAAUGUAACAGAGCUUAAGGAAAGCGUAGAUCUGGGAAGGACCACUCAAAACUUGACCUGAUGAGUAAUAGUUCCCUGACUGCUCUCACUGAAAUCACCUGGGGAUCUUUGAAAACUGAUGCCCGGGAACCACCCCCAGACAUUCCGAAUUAAAUGGAAUAAAGGGAGAGUCUGGGCAUCCAGCCUCUCCCAAAAGCUCCCCAGGUGACUGCAACAUGAAGCAAAGUUUGGGAACUACUGAACUGCAGCAUUAACAGGGACAAUUCCUAACAAAUAAAAGCCGUGGUUACUUAUUUACCUUUUAAAAGAAUUGAAGUUAGCUUGAAAAAUGAGUUUGUGGAAAAGUUGAUACUGCUGAGUGAUUGAAACAUGAGCAGGCAGUAGUUAUCAUCAGAGGUUGCAGGUAGAGAAGCAGUUGCAAACUUUGCACAAAAUGUAGCAAUGCCAGAGAUGGAUAGCUCUGAUUCAUGUCCUCUGUGGCUUUUGCACAAAGAUCUAAGAGAACUGCAAACUAAGCACUAUCAAAAUGGAAAACAGGGUUGAGCUAAGCCAAAGGAAGAAUGGGAUGCCACACAAUGAAAGAUGUCAUUUGGGUACUGUCUUCCUCCAGGCCUGGCGUGAUCAUGGUGGAGUCAGCUGCGUACUUUGCAUUCAGCUGUUGUUUCUUGGUAGCACAAGACAUAAAGUGCUAGGAAAAAUUAAGUAUGAACCAACCCGCCUUCUGUGUCAUUCUAACAUUUCCCCCCUAUUUAAUAAUCACAUGAGCUGAUUUGCAUUAUACAAAACAGCGCUAUAGCACAACAGACUGUUACUAUUCCACUGAGAAUAUGGGCUUUAAAUGUGGUUAAUCUGCCCCUAUUCUCCCCUCCUGUGCUUCAUCCUCCCUUUAGGUAGCAGGUAGCUUUUUGGGUAGGAAGGUCUACAGCCUCUGACUCUGUCCUAAGAGGAUGUUUGAAUUUGUACAGCGUGGGGUGACUUUAUUUAAAUAGCAAGUAAAGAGUAGGACUAAUCUAAAUGGAACACGCAUGCCUGAGCCAUUUAAUAUCUUUUUUUUUUUGUAUAAAUUGCCAUCUAUGUGUUAUCACCAUCACAAAACAAGUUAAGAAACAUUAUUUUAAGUUGAAUGCAUCCACUUGCAUUUUUACUUUUGCUAAUAUUUAAAGCUUAGUGUCUUUAGUGGCUUGGAUUGCAGUAUAGGUAAAAUUAUAUUUUCCUUUUCACUGGGAUUUGGCAUGACAAAAUUGAAAAAUCAUAUUGAAGGCAGACAUUACUUUGACUUAGGUGUCUAUAAUCUUUCACCUGAACUCAUUCCUGAAUGGCAUAAUCCACACUGAAGGAAUAGAUUGAUGUAGAUUUGUUGUGACAUUAUAUUGCAAGAAAGAGCAAAUUUAGAGGCUCCUGGCUGGCUCAGUCUAUAGAGCAUGCCACUCUUGAUCUUGGGGUUGUGAGUUUGAGCUACAUGUUGGGUGAACAGAUUACUUAAAAAAAUCUUAAAAAAAAAAGAGCGAUCAAAUUUGAUGUAUUGGUAUCCUUGAGGAAAAAUACUGAAGUUAGGCUAUGAGGGAAGAAUAAUACGAGAAAGUACAGAAGAUAAAUGGAGUGGUAGAGGGAAGUAUUUGAAUUAUAUUGACAAAAACUAAGCAUGAGUAACCUUCAGUUACUUUUGGGAAGCAAAUGCUGAAAUUACGUUAAAAUAUGUAUUGGGUAGUUAAGCCACACUUAACUGGGUGGCUCAAUUAAGUGUCCAACUUUGGUUUCAGCUCAGGUCAUGAUCUCAUGUUUUGGGAGUUUGAGCUCUGCACUGACAGUGUGGGGCCUGCCUGGGAUGCUCUCUCUCCCUCUCUCUCUCUGCACUUCCCAUGCUCGUGUUCUCUCUCUCUCACUUGCUCUCUUUCUCAAAAAUAAAUAAAUAUAUUUUAAAAAUAUGUAUUGGGUAGAGGGGUGCCUGGGUUGUUCAGUUGAUUAAGCAUCCAUCUUUGGCUCAGGGCAUGAUCUUGUGGUUUGUUGGUUCAAGUGCUGUGUCAGGCUCUGUGCAGACAGCUCAGAGCCUGGAGCCUACUUCAGAUUCUGUGUCUCCCUCUCUCUCUCUGCCCUCCCCCAUUUGCGUUCUGUCUCUCUCUCUCUCUCUCUCUUUCAAAAAUAAAUAAACAUUAAAAAUUUGUUUUAAAAAAUAUGUAUUGCCGGGGCACCUUGGUAGUUCCAUUGGUUAAGCAUCCGACUUCAGUUCAGGUCAUGAUUGAUUUGUGAGUUCAAACCCCGUGUCAGGCUCUGUGCUGACAGUGCAGGCCUGGAACCUGCUCUGGAUUCUCUAUCUCCCUCUCUCUCUCUGCUCCUCUCCCACUCAGGCUUUGUCUCUCUCUCUCAAAAAUAAAUAAACAGUAAAAAAAUUUAAUACAAAAAAUACGUAUUGUGUAAAAAAAUGAAAAAAGAAAUCACUGCUUUCUUACUGUUUUUGAAAAGUUCUCAUUAUUUUUUAUAUCUAAGCUAUAUUACUCUCCCACCACCCCCCCCCCCCACCUUUUUUUCAGAGCAUGGAUCUAGAUUUUUAGAGCUGGAAAGAAAUUUAGUAAUUUCCAAGUCCAUGGUUCUCAUCUUAUGGAUAAGGAAAUUGUCCCAAAGAAGUUCAGUGACUCUCUCGGGUUACAUAGCAAGGCUUACAGAGCGCUUUCUAGAUUCUAGACCAGUAACUUGACAAUAAUUAGUAAUAAGUUGUUUUACUCGCAAGACAAGAUUUGAGUCUGUAUGUAUAAAUGAUCAGCAUAUAUCCAUAAAUAUGUCAUUGUCUGCCUUUGUAUGUAGACUUUUUUAAAGAUCAGAAGGAACAGAUAUCCAAGAGUACUCAAAGGCAGUCUGACAUUUUUGAGAUAUCAAUACCACUGGGAAGGCUAGGAAAAACAAAUAGGAUGUUGUGUUAGGCAGAAAAAAACCCCACUCUACCCCAAAAGAUGUCCACCUCCUAAUUUCUGAAACAUGUGAUAAUGUUACCUUGUAUGACAAAAGAGUCUUUUCAGAUGUGAGUAAGGUUAAGGACCUUGAGAUGAGGAGACUAUCCUGGAUUAUCCAGGUGGGCCCACUCUAAUCACUUGAGUCCUUAAAAGUGGAAGAUGGAGGGAAGGGAGUGGAUCUGAGAGAUGUAUGCAAGGACUGGUUCCACUGCUCAUGGUUUUGAAGUUGGAGAAAGGGGGCCAUGAACCAAGGAAUAUGGUCAUCUUUAGCUGGGCACAGCCCUUAGUUUACAACCAACAGGAAAACAGGGACCUUGGUCCCACAAAGGCAAGAAACUGAAAUCUGCCAACAGGCCUGGUGGGAAGGAAAUGGAUUCUCCCUCAGAGCCUCCAGCAGGGAACACAUUCUGCCAACACCUUGAUUCAGUCCAGUCAGAUAUCUCCAUACCAGACUUCUGACCUAUAGGUCUGUGAGACGAUAGUUCUGUUGUUUAAGUCACUAAGUUUGUGAUAAUUGUUAUAUCAGCAACAGAUACUAAGGGAGAUAUGCAGUGUCUUAAUUUAUUAUCUUCCUGGAUUUUGACUAAACAAAGUUAUUAGGAAAAAUCAGCUGUACUACACCUUAGAGAUUUAGAGCAUAUUUGAUUUUGGAGCACUUAUAAACAACUUAGGUACUGUUGUUCAUGGCCAUCUUUCUCUGUCGUACGAAGUCCUUUUAAAUUCUAAACUUCUCUCCAGAAUUUCCUCCAUAGUGGAAUUAAGUAAAACAUGGGUUUCUUCAACCCAAAUUACUAUUUACUCAUGUGCGUAUUUCUGACUCAUCAUACUGUCAUUAUCAUAAGGUGGAGGGCGAGGAGUGGUACAUACUCAACCUUUACUUCUCGAUCAGGCAGUCACAGUCUUCUCAGCUUUCCAUCUCUCCUGUGAACAUGUUCCAUGGUUUUAGUUUCUUUGGGUUUUGUCUUGCCCAAAGUCAUUUUGUUAGUAAAUCACAGAGCCAGUUUUGGAACCUAGGCAGUCAAGCUCCACUGUACUACACUGCAGUUUUAAUGUUGUCUAAAGGAAAUGCCCAAUAGAAUGAAGAAACAUGAUAAAAACAAAAGGUCAUUUAAGGUUAAUGGCCCAGAUGUGGGCACUUGUGACUCUUCCUUCAAAUUUCUGGUUAGGACACUUCAAAAAAAUUAUUCAACAGUAAGUUCCUCUGCUGCAUUAAUUAUAUAUAUUUUUCUAUAUUCAUCUGUUUGUAUUCAAUUCAUCUGUAUUAUUACUAUUAAACUUUUCUAACAGUGGCUGGCAAACUAUAGCUCUCAGACCAAAUAUUUUUGUUAAUGAAGUUUUAUGGAACAGCCACACCUACUGAUUUAUAUGUCUAUAGCUGUUCUUCAGAGACAAUGACAAAGUUGAGUGGUUGUGAAAGAGACCAUAUGGCCCACAGAGCCCUAAAAUAUUUGCUGUCUGUCUCUUUUGCAGAAAGUUUGCAGAUCUCUGUUCUCUAAUGUCAACAAAUGAGAUAUUUAAAGUUUUUAUGUCAAUAUUACCAAAUUGUCCUUUUACAAAAUUUGCACACUUCCCAGCAGGAAUAUGAGAUGAUUCAUCAUCCUACCCAGUCUUAGGUAUCACCAUGAUGCCCAUUUUGACCAACUUUAAGAUAUGGUUCCUCCAUUUUUCUGAAUUUAAUAAUUUGUACCAUGAAUAACAAGAAACAAACAAAACUCAGGUUAGACUUCAGAGGUAUGUGUGCGUUUUUUCUUCCAUUUCUCCCUUCCUUCCUAUUGUUGGAGUUUCAGGCCAGAAUUGUAAAACAUUUUCCAAGUCAUUACCCCGUGUGAUGACAAAGCAUGUAAUGGGAUUUUUCAUGCAUAAGAAAUAGAAAAUAAUAGAAAAUAAAGAAUGACCUUUAUUUUUAACAUAUGUAUUAGAAACUGAAUUAAAAACCACACACACAUCAUAAUACAGUGGAUUAAAGGAAAUUAUCAGCAGAGAGGUUUUUUUUUUUUUUUUUUGGAAACAAAAAGUGGUAAUUCAAAUUAAACACAACUCUGCAUUAGGGAUAUUAUUUGUGAUUUUAUUUUGUUUUGUUUUGUUUUUUCGCUAUUCAACAUCAGAAGGUGUUAGAUAGAGCUCAGUAUAUCAGGUACUUUUUUUUUUUUUUCCUGGUCUUUGAUUCAGCAAGAGAGCCUGAGUCCCUGCUUAUAACCACCUCACACUUUGAAUUGGGAUCUACAGAGAAUGCACUCUUGAGAUCACAUCAGUUGCAGCAGGAGCAAGUUCAUAAAGGAGCUAUACCAUUGAUGCUACUGGUAGCAUCAGCUUCCGUCUGUAAUGUUUGGCAGUGGUGUCCGGAUUCUAACUGACCCAGCUUUGCUGUGUCCUUAGGACGUGCUGCAAGGCUAUGGAAUUUCCAACUCUUUCUCCAGCCUGUCUCACAAUUAUGUUGCUACUGAAUAUCCUUUAAUAACCCUUUGCUGCUUAAACCAGCUUAUGCUGAUUUCUGGUUUCAAGCUGACAAGAAUUCUGACUGUUGAAAUGUUCUGGAAGUGUAGUCUUAGCAGUGAGCUACCGAGACCUUCAAACAUUCUUUUGCUUAUUUCUACCUUUCUUUUAAGGUUAUUUAAUUAUUUAUUUAUUUUACUAAUCUUUACACCCAACAUGGGGCUCGAACCCAUGACCCCAAGAUUAAGAGUCACAUACUCCACCAACUGAGCCAGCCAGGUGCCCCUUUUCUACAUUUUUUUAAACUAAAAAAAUUUAAAACCUGUUUAUAGGAGCUUACUUUAAAACUCUAAAUUUUUGUAUCAUGUUUAUUAAUUACAAACAAUGUUAUUUCUGCCACAUGGUAUUUUGUGUUUAUGCUUUAAAUAUAUUUUCUUAUAAACUUUUUAAGUUUAUUUUGAGAGAGACAGAGAGGGUGGGGGAGGGGCAGAGAGAGAAUCCUAAGCAGGCUCCAUACUGUCAGCACAGAGCCUGAUGUGGGGCUUGAACCCACGAAACGUGAGAUCAUGACCUGAGCCAAAACCAAGAAUCAGUCGCUCAACCAACUGAGCCACCCAGUGCCCCUAAAUAUAUUUUCAUUAAAACCUUGGUGCUGCAGAUUUGACUUGUAAGUUUACAGCAAAGCCCAUUACCAGACCCAUCAGCUGACUUUCUUUUCAAUUUAAAUAAAUAUGUUACCAUGAAUUCUGUGAGAACUGAACAUCCCUGCAGUAUGGAUAUGUUGUGGAUCUAAAGUCCUGGUCACUCCACCUGGGCCAAUUUUAUGUCCUUCUAGCUCAAUUUCUGGAUACAUAGGUAUAUAAUAACCAUUUUCCAGUUCUCUCAAAACUAUUUCAGUGUGCUCCAGUCACUUUCAGUUGUUGAUAUGUGCAUUUCUGUGUUUGAGGGCUUUUUCUGGAACCCUGUCUGUAUGGUGGUAGGUUGGAAAUGCUAAGAACUUAGCAACCCCAGGAACCAGUCUUCAGUCCAUGACUGACAAAGUGGGUUUCUAAUACCUCAGCCCCUUCAUCAAGUUGGGAUAAUUCAGUUGGUAUAUCUCCUGUCAUUCAAUACAGUAGCUGGAUUAAUAGCGCACCUUUCAUUGGCUGCCUUCCUUUCCUUGUAAUGCUUUUCUAUUCCCUUAUUGGGGAUAGAAGUAGUUUAUUCCCUAAAUAAACUACUUGCACUUGAAUUCAUGCCUCAGGGUCUGCAUUUGGGAGAACCCAAACUGAAAUCAUGAAUACUUCUUCCUUUCAAAGGGGUCUAUAUCUUCCUUGAGCUUGAGAAUAGCUGUAGCCUAACCAUAGUGCUUGUCAUCAUCUGAUUCCACCUGAUCCCAUCUGAUCGUCUUUUAGAUGAUGCAAAGGACAGGAUGGUCUUCUAUGCAGGCAUCUUUAAAUAUCCCUAGGUAAACAAUCACUACUGUCACCAAAGUUGGUCUGAAGUGGGAAGUUUACUCAAAAAUGAAAUAUCUGUGUAUGGUUCCUUAACUGGGUAGCUGCAUUGAAACCUCAGGCUCAGUGCUGUAUUAAGAAAUGAGUGCAGAUGGGGUGCCUGGGUGGCUCAUUCCGUUAAGCGUCCAACUUCAGUUCAGGUCAUGCUCUUGCGGUUCACAAGUUCAAGUCCCAUGUCGGGCUCUGUGCUGACAGCUUGGAGCCUGGAGCCUGCUUCAUAUUCUGUGUCUCCCUCUCUCUCUCCCCUCCCCCACUUGUGCUGUGUCUCUCUCUCUCUCUCAAAACGUUAAAAACAUUAAAAAAUAUAAAAACAUUAAAAAAGAAAUAAGUGCAGUAAUUACUCAAUUAUCUGACAAUGGCUUAGGAAAAAUUUAUGGUAUUAGACUCUUGACUCUUGAUGAAGGGAUAUCCCUCAUCAAGCCUGAAAUGGAAAAAGAAAAAAAAAAAAGGCAGAGAGUGAGUCCACAGUUCAGAGCUGCUCUCUUGCUCAUUCCUUCCUUGGGGAGAGUGAUAUUCCCAAAGCCUGGAUAUGCCUCCUGAUUGCCAGUGACUAGUCUCUGUCCUAAUCUCAUGUAUACCUUUUACUUCUCUUGCUUACUGGUUCAAAAGCAAACCAAAGUGAAAGUACCAUUGAAGAGAGCCCAGGUGGCCAGUCAGUUGAGCAUCCAACUCUUGAUUUUGGCUCAGGUCAUGGUCACAGGGUCAGAAGAUUGAGUCCCUUGUCAGGCUCCAUGCUGAGCAAGGAGCCUGCUUAAGAUUCUCUCUCUCUCUGCCCCUUUCUCUCUCUCUCUCUCUCUCUCUCUCUCUCUCUCAUAAAUAAAAAAAUAAAAUUAAAAUAAGACAGUAAAAAAACAAAAACAGUGAAAGCACCAUUAAGUGAAUCCGAGUGGCCAUUCUGACCCAUCCCCAAACUCUGGCCAGCGUGCAGUCUGACCAUAGGUAGAGUGCUACCAGUAAGCCUGGGUAUCUCCCAAACAUUGGGCUCUUCAGGUAAACAUUUGACAAAUCUAAGCUCACCUUCCUCUUCAACACCACAGUGAACUAGUUAUGACAUUGAGAAGCCUGAGCCAAACUUGCAGUUUGGUGAUUUAGGUGGUAGAGAUGAAGGUUUGAGCCACCUGUGCCUCUUUCCUGAAAUAACUGGGUGUGAGAUGUUGAGUUUGCAAAAGGCUUCUCAGGUUUUUGUUGGGAUGGUGACAGUGAUGAGACUGGCCUUGUUAUAUUCCCUCUCUGAGUCCUGGUAUCUCUUUACAGACCUUUCCAUUUAGAAGAAUGUCUUAGGACAGAGUCUCCACAAGCACAACUUGAAGGAAGGAUUUAUUUAUAUGUCAAUGGUUUACUAAGGAAGUGUUCCUAAGAGAAAUCCGUAAGGAAGCGAGGAAAGCAGGAGAAGAAGUGGACCCAAGCACAGGAUAUGAUGGCUUCAGUAUUUCUGAAGACACAGAAUUUCCAUUAAUCAUUCAGCAGAGAGGAGCUAUUAUGAAGUUCCAAGAACAAGGACAGAAUAUCAGGGCAGCUCACAUCCCAGCAAUCCACCAGUCUUGGAGAGACUGAAUGAGGAGGCAUCCAGAUGUGUCCUGGGUGCAGACCUAAGAUGACCUGCCUAAAGCUAUAGCUAAUAAGAAGUAGUUGCUUGAAAGCUGGUGGGAAGUUUCAUUGUUUGCUCUCCUCUCUAGGAGACCAAAGAGAGGUGAAGUCUUUCCUGAUCACAGAUGAUUGAAGCUGGGUGAAACACUCAGUCAAAUUAGAGUUUCAGUUUCAAGAAUGGAUUCUCCAUGUCUCAGGGAUUUUAAAUCUUGAGGAGAUGAUCUUACCUCAUGACAGCCAGUCCAGUGUUUUUGCCACCUGACCAAACUUCCAGAAGGACCUUGAUAACCAGCUUGAUGGUCAGAUUGUCCAUUUCGAUGACUUUGUCGGUAUAGAGUUUCUCCAGAAGUUCACACAAUGACUUGGCACCCUGGCUUGUGACAUCAUUGGCCUUCCAGAUGCAGAGACCUUCCGUGAGUCUGACGACCUGCUUUCACUUCAGGGGAAGCGAGCUGAAAACACCUGCAAAGGGCACAGGAGGAAAGCAAAAAGACCUCUGAGUAACCAGCCUGAAUUCUACACUGCAGCAAAGCUUGUGUAUUUUUUUAAAAAAAUCAGUUUUUCCAGCUGUUGAAUGACUUCAGGAAGCGUUCCCAAGGCCCCAUCUGAUGCAAAGUCCUCCACUGUGCUUCACCACUGCUUGUCUUUACCCUGAUCCCAGCACAAUGGCUCUGCUUGUUGUCUGGUUUGCCACGUCUGUUGUUAAUUUAAACCAUCAGGAGGUCAGGGACGACUCUAUUUUGUUUGAAUGGCAUGCGUUCACCGGAAAAUAAUCUUCUCUCCAAUGUAGAAUCCCGAGCAUGAGAAUUCUCAAGACACACUAGGUCAAGAGUGAGAGGAAAGUACAAAAUAUAUGUUCACUGUCUUAUAUGGCGUUUCUUCUUGUGAACAUAUGGGUAUAAUCGUAGCUCAAUAAAAGAUGUGCUCCAAUUAUCUCUCUUUGGUCCUCCCUUUGAAAUACUCCCUAAUUGGUAACACAUUUGCUUAGCCACUCUACUAGGUAGUUACUACUUAAAAACUGGAGAAUUUUUAAGAGUUUAGCAGAACAUCUGGGAGCUGUGAAAACUGAUUUUGGCUGAACUUCUCUUUGUUUUUUUCCAGUGUUUGGUUUUUUUUUUUUUUUUUUUUUCCUAUACAAUUACACUUGCAUCCAACUUCUGUCAAACCUGGUUGUUCGGGAAUUUUAGCCGUAGUACUCUUAUUCCUCACAGAACCCUAGAAACCUGAGCAUUGAUCUUUCCUCCUUGUCUCCAGCCCAUAUCUGAGUCUGGCAUUUAUUAUUUUCUUCAGCUGUAACAUUUUAAUCCAUUCAUAACUUUGCUUAUAUCUCUGACUUGGAGAUCUUGGGCCAUCUUUUAAUUUAUUCUUUUAUGCACUCGUUCAUUCACGUGUUCAACAAAUAUUUACUGAGUUGCCUUGGCACCACUAGAGAUAAAAGAUGAAUAAUGGUUCCUGCCCUCAAAAACUUUACUAUGGGGAAAUAGUCAAACAAUCCAUUAAAAUACAACAACAUAAAUGCUAUUUAUUCAUUCAGGUAGUCUCUGGGUUCCUACUCUGUCCCAGCACUGUGCAAGGCAGAUGUUACAAAUAGAUUGCCAUAUAGGAGGAAUACCUAAUGGGGGAAGGGGAAGUCUUCCAGAAGAGAUGAUCCCAAGUUUGGUCCU